UUGACUGCGAGAGUGACAGCUCGAGCAGGUACGAAAGUAGGUCUUAGUGAUCCGGUGGUUCUGAAUGGAAGGGCCAUCGCUCAACGGAUAAAAGGUACUCCGGGGAUAACAGGCUGAUACCGCCCAAGAGUUCAUAUCGACGGCGGUGUUUGGCACCUCGAUGUCGGCUCAUCACAUCCUGGGGCUGAAGUAGGUCCCAAGGGUAUGGCUGUUCGCCAUUUAAAGUGGUACGCGAGCUGGGUUUAGAACGUCGUGAGACAGUUCGGUCCCUAUCUGCCGUGGGCGUUGGAAGAUUGAAAGGGGCUGCUCCUAGUACGAGAGGACCGGAGUGGACGCACCACUGGUGUUCGGGUUGUCAUGCCAAUGGCAUUGCCCGGUAGCUAAGUGCGGCAGAGAUAACCGCUGAAAGCAUCUAAGCGGGAAACUUGCCUUGAGAUGAGUCUUCCCUUGUCCCUUGAGGACACUGAAGGAACGUUCGAGACGAGGACGUGGAUAGGCUGGGUGUGUAAGCGUUGCGAGACGUUGAGCUAACCAGUACUAAUGAACCGUGCGGCUUAACCUG
rnacentral:ncRNA from 1 species